CAUGAGUACGAGUUUGAUCCUGGCUACAGGACGAACGCUGGCGGCGUGCCUAACACAUGCAAGUCGAACGGGGUAAUCCUUCGGGGGUUACUUAGUGGCGAACGGGUGAGUAACGCGUGAGGAACCUGCCUCUCAGUGGGGGACAACAGUUGGAAACGACUGCUAAUACCGCAUAACAUUUCUGGACCGCAUGAUCCGGAAAUCAAAGCUUUAUGUGCUGAGAGAUGGCCUCGCGUCUGAUUAGCUGGUUGGCGGGGUAACGGCCCACCAAGGCGACGAUCAGUAGCCGGUCUGAGAGGAUGAACGGCCACAUUGGGACUGAGAUACGGCCCAGACUCCUACGGGAGGCAGCAGUGGGGAAUAUUGGGCAAUGGGGGAAACCCUGACCCAGCAACGCCGCGUGAAGGAAGAAGGCCUUCGGGUUGUAAACUUCUUUUACCAGGGACGAAGAACGUGACGGUACCUGGAGAAAAAGCGACGGCUAACUACGUG
rnacentral:rRNA from 1 species